rnacentral:rRNA from 1 species
UACGUAGGGGGCAAGCGUUGUCCGGAUUUAUUGGGCGUAAAGAGCGUGUAGGCGGCCAUACAGGUCAGCUGUGAAAACUCGAGGCUCAACCUCGAGACGUCGGUUGAAACCGUAUGGCUAGAGUCCGGAAGAGGAGAGUGGAAUUCCCGGUGUAGCGGUGAAAUGCGCAGAUAUCGGGAAGAACACCCGUGGCGAAGGCGGCUCUCUGGGACGGUACUGACGCUGAGACGCGAAAGCGUGGGGAGCGAUCCGG